UACGUAGGUGGCAAGCGUUGUCCGGAUUUACUGGGCUUAAAGAGCGCGCAGGCGGUCGUGCAAGUCGCGUGUGAAAGCCCCCGGCUCAACUGGGGAGGGUCACGCGAUACUGCUCGACUCGAAGGCAGGAGAGGGAAGUGGAAUUCCCGGUGUAGUGGUGAAAUGCGUAGAUAUCGGGAGGAACGCCAGUGGCGAAGGCGACUUCCUGGCCUGUUCUUGACGCUGAGGCGCGAAAGCUAGGGUAGCAAACGGG
rnacentral:rRNA from 1 species